AAAUUGAAGAGUUUGAUCAUGGCUCAGAUUGAACGCUGGCGGCAGGCCUAACACAUGCAAGUCGAACGGUAACAGGAAACAGCUUGCUGUUUCGCUGACGAGUGGCGGACGGGUGAGUAAUGUCUGGGAAACUGCCCGAUGGAGGGGGAUAACUACUGGAAACGGUAGCUAAUACCGCAUAACGUCGCAAGACCAAAGAGGGGGACCUUAGGGCCUCUUGCCAUCGGAUGUGCCCAGAUGGGAUUAGCUAGUAGGUGGGGUAAUGGCUCACCUAGGCGACGAUCCCUAGCUGGUCUGAGAGGAUGACCAGCCACACUGGAACUGAGACACGGUCCAGACUCCUACGGGAGGCAGCAGUGGGGAAUAUUGCACA
rnacentral:rRNA from 1 species